rnacentral:rRNA from 1 species
GACGAACGCUGGCGGCGUGCUUAACACAUGCAAGUCGAACGGAAAGGCCCUGCUUGCAGGGUACUCGAGUGGCGAACGGGUGAGUAACACGUGGGUGAUCUGCCCUGCACUUCGGGAUAAGCCUGGGAAACGGGGUCUAAUACCGGAUAGGAGCCAUUUUUAGUGUGAUGGUUGGAAAGUUUUUUCGGUGUAGGAUGAGCUCGCGGCCUAUCAGCUUGUUGGUGGGGUAAUGGCCUACCAAGGCGGCGACGGGUAGCCGGCCUGAGAGGGUGGACGGCCACAUUGGGGCUGGGGAUCGGCCCAGACUCCUACGGGAGGCAACAGUGGGGGAUAUUGCACAAUGGGCGCAAGCCUGAUGCAGCGACGCCGCGUGGGGGAUGACGGCCUUCGGGUUGUAAACUCCUUUCGCUAGGUACGAAGCUUUUUGUGACGGUACCUAGAUAAGAAGCACCGGCUAACUACGUG